AACGUACGCUGGCGGCACGCCUAACACAUGCAAGUCGAACGAAGUAGCAAUACUUAGUGGCAGACGGGUGAGUAACAUGUAGGUAUCUGCCCUUUGGCCUGGAAUAACACGAGGAAACUUGUGCUAAUACCGGAUAAGUCUUUACGGAGAAAGCUUUAUGCACCAUUGGAUGAGCCUGCACUUGAUUAGUUUGUUGGUGGGGUAAUGGCCUACCAAGACUGUGAUCAAUAGCUGAUUUGAGAGGAUGAUCAGCCACAUUGGGACUGAGACACGGCCCAAACUCCUACGGGAGGCAGCAGUGGGGAAUCUUGCACAAUGGAGGAAACUCUGAUGCAGCGAUGCCGCGUGAGUGAAGAAGGCCCUUGGGUUGUAAAGCUCUUUCGUCGGGGAAGAAAAUGACUGUACCCGAAUAAGAAGGUCCGGCUAACUUCGUGCCAGCAGCCGCGGUAAUACGAAGGGACCUAGCGUAGUUCGGAAUUACUGGGCUUAAAGAGUUCGUAGGUGGUUGAAAAAGUUAGUGGUGAAAUCCCAGAGCUUAACUCUGGAACUGCCAUUAAAACUUUUCAGCUAGAGUAUGAUAGAGGAAAGCAGAAUUUCUAGUGUAGAGGUGAAAUUCGUAGAUAUUAGAAAGAAUACCAAUUGCGAAGGCAGCUUUCUGGAUCAUUACUGACACUGAGGAACGAAAGCAUGGGUAGCGAAGAGGAUUAGAUACCCUCGUAGUCCAUGCCGUAAACGAUGUGUGUUAGACGUUGGAAAUUUAUUUUCAGUGUCGCAGGGAAACCGAUAAACACACCGCCUGGGGAGUACGACCGCAAGGUUAAAACUCAAAUGAAUUGACGGGGACCCGCACAAGUAGUGGAGCAUGUGGUUUAAUUCGAAGAUACGCGCAGAACCUUACCAACACUUGACAUGUUCGUCGCGACUCUAAGAGAUUAGAGUUUUCGGUUCGGCCGGACGAAACACAGGUGCUGCAUGGCUGUCGUCAGCUCGUGUCGUGAGAUGUUGGGUUAAGUCCCGCAACGAGCGCAACCCUCACUUUUAGUUGCCAUCAUUAAGUUGGGCACUCUGAAAGAACUGCCAGUGAUAAGCUGGAGGAAGGUGGGGAUGACGUCAAGUCCUCAUGGCCCUUACGUGUUGGGCUACACACGUGCUACAAUGGUAUCUACAACAGGAAGCAAGACUGCGAAGUUAAGCAAAUCCCUAAAAGAUACCUCAGUUCGGAUUGCACUCUGCAACUCGAGUGCAUGAAGCUGGAAUUACUAGUAAUCGUGGACCAGCGUGCCACGGUGAAUGCGUUCCCGGGUCU
rnacentral:rRNA from 1 species